rnacentral:lncRNA from 1 species
AAGGCAUGUCCGAGGAUCCACCACCACCUCCCCCACCGCCACCGCCAGUUGCCGCCAGUUUAUCGGCGGGAGAUUUGGCGGCAGGUUCACCGGAAUUAUUAUUAUUAUUAUUAACUUUCGGUUGUUGUGGAGAUUUUAAAGGGGAAGGUUGAGAGGUGGAAGUAGAACGUCUGUUUCCUAAAUGAGAAACAUCAGACAUCAUUGAUUUACUUGGCCAUGAGCCACCUCGACUUGUACUAGAUUUUGUUUCAAUCAUUGUCAUUUCAGCUUCCACACGUCUCUUCCAUGUGCUGACUAGACUUCUUGCUUUCUUCUGAAUCUCUGAAUUUUUAUGGCUUCUUAAAUGAUUCACAGAUUUCCCAACAUUACAAGUCUGUAAAGCAUGAAGAUUCACAGGUAACCUAUCAAGGGCACGAAGUAGAGAAAAAAGAAAAUCUUCAACAGAUUUAUCGUUUUCUUUUGGACUCCCAUUCCCAUCGCCGAUUUUACCCUUGUGGAUUUCUUGAAGCCAUUCAUCCAAAACUGACAAACCCCUUAAUUGAACAAACCGAGUUAAAUAAUCAAAUCUUUCAGUAACUGAUAUGACAUCAACAAGCAUUGUUCGGGAAGAUAAGUCGAGUUUUUUGUCGGUGUUUUCGGGUCUCAUGAGUUGGAUUAGUUUUUCAACUCCUUGGAAAUCCAUCAAUCCUCCUUUAUCAGUGAUUUUGGAAAUUUCGGUUUUUAUUAUGUGUUCAGGUCUAAGUUGACCAGAAUNAAGAAUCUUCAGGUAAAGGAGGGGAACAUGCCACGUCAGAUCUUGAGAUUUCACCAGCUGCCACGCUGGCAAGAAGAUUCAUUCCACCAUCAUCACCCAUUGAAGGUGACACUGAGACACUAGCUUCAGAAAACUUAGCACAGCUUUCUACUAACGCGUUUAUAGAGCUAUAAGAAGGUUCAUAUAAUUUCCCUGGUUUUGGAGUGACCCCAGAUGAAGAACCACCAUGUUCAUCAGGUAACACAACAGUCACAGUUGCUGACUUGGCAUCAUCACAGCCCUCCAUUCCAUCUUUCCCAUCUGUAUCCAUUUUUUCCACAUUGCUCUGUAAAGAAUCGUUUACAGUUUUUCCACUUGUCUUUUGAUCUUGCUUCUCAGAAGGUGCCACAACACUUUGGUUGUUUCCAUUAUCUACAAUGGACACAUCAGACACAUGUCCAGCUCCUUUCUCAUUACCAAAAUUCCGGAUUUUUCCAAGAUUACCCUUUUCAUUUCCUGGAGUUGUGGAGCCAUGGAAACCAUUGCUUGAGUUCCUGCUAUUGUAAACACUACCAGUCUUCCCAUGAUCACUAGAGCAAGAUUGACUGUUGUUUGGAGAAUGAGUGGUGCUUGAACUCCUACCUUCUUUAGUUCCAGAUGAAGGCAUGUCCGAGGAUCCACCACCACCUCCACCACCGCCACCGCCAGUUGCCGCCAGUUUAUCGGCGGGAGAUUUGGCGGCAGGUUCACCGGAAUUAUUAUUAUUAUUAUUAACUUUCGGUUGUUGUGGAGAUUUUAAAGGGGAAGGUUGAGAGGUGGAAGUAGAACGUCUGUUUCCUAAAUGAGAAACAUCAGACAUCAUUGAUUUACUUGGCCAUGAGCCACCUCGACUUGUACUAGAUUUUGUUUCAAUCAUUGUCAUUUCAGCUUCCACACGUCUCUUCCAUGUGCUGAC